UAAAACGUAGGUGGCGAGCGUUAUCCGGAUUUACUGGGCGUAAAGCGUGUGCAGGCGGCUUGUCAAGUGGUGUAUGAAAUAUCCAGGCUCAACCUGGAGGGGUUAUGCCAGACUGGCAGGCUGGAGUGCGAGAGAGGGGCGUGGAAUUCCGGGUGUAGUGGUGAAAUGCGUAGAGAUCCGGAGGAACCCCAGAGGCGAAGGCGGCGCCCUGGCUCGCAACUGACGCUCAGACACGACAGCAUGGGGAGCGAACGGGAUUAGAAACCCCGGUAGUCCAUGCCGUAAACGAUGCCAACUAGGCGCUGGGGGACUCAACCCCCUCGGUGCCGCAGCAAACGCGAUAAGUUGGCCGCCUGGGGAGUACGGUCGCAAGGCUA
rnacentral:rRNA from 1 species